rnacentral:rRNA from 1 species
GACGAACGCUGGCGGCGUGCCUAAUACAUGCAAGUAGAACGCACAGUUUAUACCGUAGCUUGCUACACCAUAGACUGUGAGUUGCGAACGGGUGAGUAACGCGUAGGUAACCUGCCUGGUAGCGGGGGAUAACUAUUGGAAACGAUAGCUAAUACCGCAUAAUAUUAAUUAUUGCACGAUAAUUAAUUGAAAGGUGCAAUUGCACCACUACCAGAUGGACCUGCGUUGUAUUAGCUAGUAGGUGAGGUAACGGCUCACCUAGGCGACGAUACAUAGCCGACCUGAGAGGGUGAUCGGCCACACUGGGACUGAGACACGGCCCAGACUCCUACGGGAGGCAGCAGUAGGGAAUCUUCGGCAAUGGACGAAAGUCUGACCGAGCAACGCCGCGUGAGUGAAGAAGGUUGUCGGAUCGUAAAGCUCUGUUGUAAGAGAAGAACGGGUGUGAGAGUGGAAAGUUCACACUGUGACGGUAUCUUACCAGAAAGGGACGGCUAACUACGUG